GAUGAACGCUGGCGGCGUGCCUAACACAUGCAAGUCGAACGAGCGCCUUCGGGCGCGAGUGGCGGACGGGUGAGUAACGCGUGGAUAACCUGCCUUAUACAGGGGGAUAACAGCGGGAAACUGCUGUUAAUACCGCAUAAGCGCACAGUACCGCAUGGUACAGUGCGAAAAGCUCCGGCGGUAUAAGAUGGAUACGCGUCUGAUUAGCCAGUUGGCGGGGUAACGGCCCACCAAAGCGACGAUCAGUAGCCGACUUGAGAGAGUGACCGGCCACAUUGGGACUGAGACACGGCCCAAACUCC
rnacentral:rRNA from 1 species